rnacentral:piRNA from 1 species
UGCCUAUAGUCAGCAAGAAGGGUUCCC